AAUAUAACGGGGCUAAGCAUGCAACCGAAGCUUAGGAUUGUUCUUAGAACAGUGGUAGGGGAGCGUCGUGUACGGGGUGAAGUCUGAGCGGAAGCACAGGUGGACUGUACAGGAGUGAGAAUGCCGGAAUGAGUAGCGAGAAUUAUGUGGGAAUCAUAAUGGCCGAAAAUCUAAGGUUUCUUGGGGAAGGUUCGUCCGCCCAAGGUAAGCCGGGAGCUAAGGCGAGGCCGAAAGGCGUAGUCGAUGCACAUACGGUUGAAAUUCCGUAGCCGCCGAAAUUGUUAAGCACAGGGACACAUAGAGAUAUCCGAACCCGGGCGUUGGUCGACCCGGGCGCAAGGGACCGAACAUCAGUAGGGAAGUCGGAGAUGCUCUGUGGCGAGAAAAGCUGUGUGUAUUUCUGCGGUGCCCGUACCGCAAACCGACACAGGUAGAUGAGGAGAGAAUCCUAAGGCCAACGGGAGAAGGGUUGUUAAGGAACUCGGCAAAUUGACCCCGUAACUUCGGGAGAAGGGGUGCUCCAGAGAUGGAGCCGCAGAGAAUCGGCCCAAGCAACUGUUUACCAAAAACACAGGUUUGUGCUAAAUCGAAAGAUGACGUAUACGAGCUGACGCCUGCCCGGUGCUGGAAGGUUAAGAGGAGAUGUGCAAGCAUUGAAUCGAAGCCCCAGUGAACGGCGGCCGUAACUAUAACGGUCCUAAGGUAGCGAAAUUCCUUGUCAGGUAAGUUCUGACCCGCAUGAAAGGCGUAAUGAUUUGGGCACUGUCUCAACAGCCCGCCCGGCGAAAUUGUAGUACUGGUGAAGAUGCCAGUUACCCGCAACUAGACGGAAAGACCCCAUGGAGCUUUACUGUAGCCUAAUAUUGGGUUUCGAUGUUGCAUGCACAGGAUAGAUGGGACACAGGGAAACAAUCGCUUUGGCGGUUGCGGAGUGGCCGUUGGGAUACCAUCCUUGCGAUAUUGGAAUUCUAACCUGCGGCUCUGAAUCGAGUCGGGGGACAUUGUUAGGUGGGCAGUUUGACUGGGGCGGUCGCCUCCAAAAAGGUAACGGAGGCGCUCAAAGGUUCGUUCAGCACGGACGGAAAUCGUGCAUUGAGUGUAAACGCAUAAACGAGCCUAACUGCGAGACCGACGGGUCGAGCAGUAACGAAAGUUGGAGUUAGUGAUCCGGUGGUAUGUGAGUGGAAAUGCCAUCGCUCAACGGAUAAAAGCUACCCUGGGGAUAACAGGCUGAUCUCCCCCAAGAGUCCACAUCGACGGGGAGGUUUGGCACCUCGAUGUCGGCUCAUCGCAUCCUGGGGCUGUAGCAGGUCCCAAGGGUUGGGCUGUUCGCCCAUUAAAGCGGUACGCGAGCUGGGUUCAGAACGUCGUGAGACAGUUCGGUCCCUAUCUGUCGUGGGCGCAGGAUAUUUGAUGGGAGCUGUUCCUAGUACGAGAGGACCGGAGUGGACGGAUCAACGGUGUACCAGUUGUCACGCCAGUGGCACGGCUGGAAAGCCGCAUCCGGAAAGGAUAAACGCUGAAAGCAUCUAAGCGUGAAGCCGACCCAAAGAUAAGAUAUCCCAUUGUUUCAAACAAGUAAGACCCCUUGAAGACUACAAGGUUGAUAGGCACGAUGUGUAAGUGGAGUGAUCCAUUCAGCAAGCGUGUACUAAUAGGUCGAGGGCUUGACCAC
rnacentral:rRNA from 1 species